GAAGUUGAACUGGUCAGUAGUCAGUCUAGUGGUGGACAUAAAAAAAAAUUCAAACUACUCUGUACCCCCUCCAAGUAAUACCCCAGUAGUGACCGGUGGGCCUACUUCCACUUUUGAAUGUGGGAAAGGAAACCAGUUCGCGAUAUAACAGGAAGAAAUGCCUCGUCAGCGUUUCCCAAAUUUCCAAUUUAAACUUUUGAUCAUGGCGCCCGGAGGAGCUUCAUCGCCGUACAAGUUUCCACACAUGCAUCCUCAUGACUUGCAGUAGUCAGACUCUACAGCACAGCCAACCCAUUUCCAGCCUUUGUAUUUAAAGGAGUGAAAGAGUUGAGCUAACAUCCGUGGGACCACGAGACACUGACUGUUUGCGAAAAAUGACCGCUGGCCAGGACCUCCCCCUCUGGAUCGUAAUAUAAGGGCCUUAUUUCAUGCAUCGAAUCGACUUGGGCGAUCGUCCUCCCCUCCAUUGGCACGUGGGCUUAGUCGUAUAACGGCAAUCCGUUGUGUUAUGUAUACAAAGUGAAC